GCGCACCAUAGAUGAAAAGAAGCCCUCACAACAAUUAGACAAACCCCAAAGCACACACCACCACUCCACAAAAACCUCAACAGCCAAACUACCCAAAGCACACCCACUCCAACCUAAAGAAGACCUUCACACAAUGAUUUGAGAAGCAAUAUAAGAGAAGACUACAAAAUAUGAGCAAUCAUACUCCAUGUUUAAUCGCUUCUCCAUCAGUAAGUCACUAUGUACACAUCAUAAGGUCUCGACAACUCUACUGGUAGCACGUUCAACUCUGCACCAACUUCUUCCACUGGACCAUACCCCUGAAGCUAUCAGCCUGGCUAUUCUUCUUUCCCAUGAUCAUGAUUUCUAUUUCCAAUUCAUUGAAUGUGUUUUCAGUUUUACCUAAUGGAAAUCUAAGCAAAGUGACAACAAUUCAUAACCGUUGCGUUCAAAAUCUGCAAUUCAACUAAAAUAUGGAGUCAUUAAGGAGGAAGCUGCAAAAGAAAAACACGUGAUGAACCUUCUUCCAAACUAGGUACAAUAAUGCUGAUUGUUUUCCCAAAGAGCUAGCAUGUGGACUCUGAAAUGCUAAAUGACAUGCUUGUACAUAGAUUUCAAGUUUGGAACUAAAGAUCAUAGCAUGUGGGAAUUGCAUAGCAGCUUUUUUCUAUGGCUGUGAGAUUCCUUGGCUUACUGGUCGAGUUGUCAGUGAAGCUGCUUCCAUUGUUGUUGGACCACAGCUGCUCUCCUACACAUGUUUAUUGUUCUGGUAUCUCUCUCUCUCUCUCUCUCAAUAUUAUUAUAAAUUGUUGUAUGUGGAGUUAAUUUUAUGCAACAAUGUAAAGUUGUAGCUGAUAAUUAGCAACAUUUAGUAUGUUGCCUAUGUAUAAUUGUGUUAGUUUAGAACUGUUGUCGUAGGACUUCUAUGCAACACUUAUAACUUGAAAUAAAAAAUGGGUAACACUAUUGCACUAGGCUAAAAAAAUAACUGUUGCGUAUUCCUCAUAGUAUAGGUUAGAGUUUCAGACAUGUUUCCUGUUGGAAAUAACACGGAGUCGGGUUUAUACUACGAAGGUCGAGCUCCAUCUGCCCAAUGUGAUUAAACCGAGCCUUGCUUCUCGAUGCUGAUGAACGUUACGUGUAGUACCUCGGUUAAGAGGAAUUUUCGGUGAUAUUGCGCCUUUGUUUCGGUAUCGGCCAGAAACACUGGUUGAUCUUGCGUGCCAGCAGUUGGUAAAGAAAAUGAUGGCCUGGUGGCCGAGAUUGUACCCUGUCUUGGCAAGCGAAGACUAACCAAAAGCGUAAAAUACAGCCAAAUACUGGAGGUAAAUAAUGACAAGCGGUUAAGAAGUGCUCAAGUUCAGAGAAUGCUCUGAAAAACUGGAAAAGAGAUGCAGACUACCUAGUUCAACUAUGAAUGUAGAAAAAUAUAGUAAGCAUGCUGAAACUCAUGGUUACUUUUUCAAAAGUAAAACAGUAACUGAACUUAAACUAUAAUGCGAUGAAAAUAAAUCCACCAAGUUGGGAAACAAAACACUACAUGAAUGCCAAUUAAAUGAAUAAAAGUGAUUAUUUUAGAACACUUAUGCAGAAAAUAAACACAACAGAAUGCUGAACUUGGAAAUGCCGAAGGAUGCUGGAAAUCUAGACAAUGAACAUGUAAUUCAUAUUAACAAAUAUCAACAACACAGCGAAAUUAAGGAACAAUAAUAUGUUGAAAGCGAAAGAUUUAAGCAUGCAAGAUUGUGUCUUUACUCUUUAGCAAUGAUCAAGCAAUUAGAGUAAUUUGAAGAAGGUGCAAGUAGUAAAGAACUUGAAUUGAAAUUGCAAAUUUGAAAAUAGCAACAAGAUUGGAAUAAAGUGGCUGGAGUUUACUGGAAACUCAACCACUCUUGAAUCCAGUAGGAACUGAGGCGUUAGUUUAGAUGUUCAACCCUUUCUAAGUCUUCCUAAGUCCUAUUUAUAGUUGAAAUUCAAAGAACUUAAGUCCUAAGUCCCUUUUCUCCAAACUUUCGAUCCCCAAAUGUUAUUUCUACAGUGCAACCUGUCUUUUUAGGGCUUUCCCACUGAAACCAACCUCCACCUAUCUCUUGUUGUUGAAGCGAGUCUGAGCGGCCAAGGGAUUGCCUUGGAAAGAGAUUGGCACAUUUGAUCUGAUCUAGUUAAGCCGGAAAAAAGUUCACUCCAAUCCAGCUCUAAUAGGAGCUUCAAUAUUUUUUUGGAGUGAAUCGACAAGCACCUUCCAUUUCCCAUCGGCAUAAUGGGGCCGACACUUUUUGAAGUGUUGACCAUUACAGGCCUUCCGCCAUUCGGUGAAAUUAUAACGUUGUUAACUGAACCGACGUGCACUCUCAAAUCAACGACUGUUACCUCUUGCGGUCCCUUUGUCACCAUAUAUUCCAAGGUCACUGACACCGUUACCGACACAAAACACAGAUUUUUAACUUACUGGUUGUUUGCCCAUGUAAUUUGCCCUAUGUUUUCGGGGGUUAGCAAGGCCUACGUCAAACUUGCGUGUGCAAGAAACUUGCUUUGGGCCAAUUCCUUCUUGCUUCUCUAUAUUCUGCCAUUAAGGAUAUUGUACAAGGCAUCUGAUACAACAUUCGGGUUAGAAAUCUAGUGGGGCCUAUUUGGCUCCUUCAGCUUUGGCUAACGACCAUCCUAAGUGGUCGCUUCGAUCUUGAGUCUGUUCCUUGGUAACCGAAAAUAGCUGCCUUUCGGCUCGACCCGUUGACACCCCUAAGGCCAAUCUAAUGAAGCCUUUCACUUUUAUUUCAACAUCUUUUGGAACCUAUCCGCCCAGACAAACAUUGUUGACCUUUUCGAUCAGCCGCCCUUCUUGGUUCUUGAAAGAAAAGAUUUCGACGAUUUCGAUGUUGAAAAAUGAGUUGUCGUAUUGUGCCCUCAACAACUUUUGACUAGAUUGCCGAGAUUUAAGGAUCUCAAUGUAGUGAAUUAUCGGCCAAACUAUGUCAGUUAUCAACUCGGUUUCAGUGAGGCCCUGCCUUUUUCUUUGACCACUCAAUUUGAUAAGUUCUAUCGACAUUCCAACCCGUUGACCUUUGCAGAGAUCUCGUUACUCUUGGAAAACAAUUGACGCUUUUCGGCUCAUUUUAAGUGGGGAGAUUAUGCACUGGUUAAUUUGGUGAUAAAUACUUUUACCGACUAGCGGCGAAGAUACUUUUGCCAAUAAAUUUUGUGGCUAUAGCCUUCCAUAACCACCAAUAAUUAUUUUAAAUAC